rnacentral:rRNA from 1 species
UACAGAGGUCUCGAGCGUUAGGCGGAAUCACUGGGCUUAAAGCGUGUGUAGGCGGAUCGUUAAGUGCCUUGUGAAAUCCCACAGCUUAACUGUGGAACUGCUUGGUAUACUGCUUAUCUUGGGCCACUUAGGGGUUACCGGAACAAACGGUGGAGCGGUGAAAUGCGUAGAUAUCGUUUGGAACGCCAAUGGUGAAAACAGGUAACUGGGAGUGUGCCGACGCUGAGACACGAAAGCCAGGGGAGCGAACGGG